rnacentral:lncRNA from 1 species
UAUUUCUUCAUGAACGGCUCUCUUCCACCAAGGAUGACCGAGAGCCUCUUGUAUAUUGUUGGGAACAUGUAGAUUAUCUAAAGAAGAAACAAAGGCUCGGUAUGAUGAGGACAAACCAUCAUAUGAGACAUAUUUGGCAAUUGGAUGAGUGGUGCAACUUCGAACCCCCUUUCUUUCUGCAAUUGAUUUAUUAGAAUCAUCAACACUUGGAACCAUGAACUCAACCGAGGCAAGACUAUCCAUACCUGUGUUGUCUUCACAAGAGCUUAGAUUUGGUUCAGUUUCUUGGACAUGUGGCUGAGUUCCGUGCUCUAUCUGCUCUCUAGUUCUUCUCCUCCUAUAAACAUUGAGAUUAUCAACAGCAAGCUGUGGACGAGGUGAGAUUAGAGGCUGUAGUUGAUGAGCUGAUGGAUGACGGGGUGACACAGCUGAUUGUGGUUGGGAGGACUUCUUGGAACCAUGAACUCAACCGAGGCAAGACUAUCCAUACCUGUGUUGUCUUCACAAGAGCUUAGAUUUGGUUCAGUUUCUUGGACAUGUGGCUGAGUUCCGUGCUCUAUCUGCUCUCUAGUUCUUCUCCUCCUAUAAACAUUGAGAUUAUCAACAGCAAGCUGUGGACGAGGUGAGAUUAGAGGCUGUAGUUGAUGAGCUGAUGGAUGACGGGGUGACUCGGCUGAUUGUGGUUGGGAGGACUCAGAUGACUCAAAAGGUUGUGAAGAUGUUGGGAGGAUUGCUGAUUGUGGCUGUUGGAUAGAUUGAUCAUGUGUGGUGGUUGAGUUAUGAGGGUUUUCAUGAGGGGUUUCCAGCCAAGAUUGCCAAGAAGAUUCCCAAGGCUGAUGUUCGCUCGUACUCUCUCCCUGAACAGCAGUUUUGGAAUAGAAAGGCAGGUUUUCAACAAAUGUUACAUCUCUGGAAAUGUAUAUUUUUCUGGUGUGAGGAGAAUAGCAUUUGUAUCCUUUUUUAUGUGGAGAAUAGCCUAAAAAUAUACACUUGAGAGAUCGGGGAUCAAGUUUAGUCCUGUGUUGAGAGUGAACAUGGACAUAUGCUGUGCAACCGAAUAUUUUUUGUGGUAAAUCUGCUGAAACAAUCCUAGUGUGUGGAAAGAAAUUGAGAAGAACUUUUCUUGGGCAAUGAAACCCCAAGACUCUAGAAGGCAUUCGGUUGAUUAAGUAGGCUGCAGUGAGAACAGCUUCACCCCAGAAAAAAUUAGGAACAUGAGAUGAGAACAAAAGACAGCGAGCCACUUCAAGAAGGUGUCUGUUUUUGCGUUCAGCGACCCCAUUUUGUUGCGGGGUGUCAACACAAGAACUGAUGUGAAGAAUGCCUUGAUGGAGAAGAUAUGAGCUGAGGGAGUCUUUGAAAUAUUCCUUGGCAUUGUCGGUUUUAAGGACUUGGAUCUUGGUAUUGAAUCGGGUUUGAAUCAUGGCGUUAAAGUUUUGGAAGAUUUGACUAACUUCGGAUUUGUUUUUCAUGAGAAACACCCAAGUGAGACGAGUAUGAUCAUCCACAAAUGACAAAAACCAGCGAGCCCCAGAAACAUUUUUAAUUCUUGAGGGACCCCACACAUCACUGUGAAUUAAAGCAAAUGGAC